UUUCUUUAAUUUCUUUCCUUUUUUUUUUUCUUUUUUUCUUUUUUUGGUAGUUCUGGGAAUCCAACUCAAGGCCUGGAACCUGUUAGGCAAGAGCUCUACCACUGAGGUACAACUCCAGUGCCAGCCCCCUACUUCUUGGGCUCUUGCUCACCCUCUCUGACACACCCUUGUUCAAGGUCAAAGUGUAAAACCGUGGCAGAAUGGGGAGUAGAACCAGCAUUUCUGAUCUUACUCUCAAGGCUCUUUUAACUACCUUAUUUGGUAGUUAAAAUAAACACUCAUUAACUUUUUUCUUUCUUUCCUUUUUUUCCUGAAGAAACAUGUCUAAACUCUAGGGCUCAAGGAAUCCUCCUGCUUCAACGCCCCCCAGGUAGCUGGGAAUAUCAACUGGCUCCACUGCACCCAGCUCUAACACUCAUUAACUUCAAUGUUCUUUUUUCUGGAUAAGACCAGGCCAAAGUCAGCUAGUUUGCAUAAAACUAAAUGGAAUAGAAUGUCCAGAAGUAGAAAUUUUGCUACUAGUUAUACAACCUCACAUAUAACUCUCACCAUUUUUUUUUUUUUUUGUACUGGAUAGAACCCAGGGUACUUUACCACUGGGCUACAUCCACAGUCCUUUUUUUUAUCUAUUUUGAGACAGGGUCUUGCUAAGUUGCUUAGGGACUUGCAAAGUUGCUAAGGCUGGCUUUGAACUCUGGAUCCUCCCUCAGCCUCCUAAACUGCUAGGAUUACAGGCAUGUGCCACCACACUUGGUGCCAUCCCCUUCUUUUUUUUUUUUUUUUUUGGUACUGAGGAUUAAACUCAGGGGCACUCGACCACUGAGCCACAUCCCCAGCCCUUUUUCAUAUUUUAUUCAAAGAUAGGGUCUCACUGAGUUGCUUAGUGCCUUGCUGUUGCUGAGGCUGACUUUGAACUCAAGAUCCUCCUGCCUCAGCCUCCAGAGCCACUGGGAUUACAGGAUUGAACCAAGGGCCUCGCACAUGCUAGGCAAGCAGCUCUACCGCUGAGCCACAGCCAUAGCCCCUGGAUAGAUCGAACCCAUAGCCCUGCACAUGCCAGGCAAGCGUGCUACCUCUUGAGCCAUAUCCCCAGCCCAACAGUAAGUAGUUCUUAACUCUGGUCACAUAUUGGGAAAACCUAGGAUGCUUUUUGAAAAUACCAACACCCAGGCCCCAAUCUUGGAGAUUUUUUUUAUUGUACUAGGGAUUGAACUUAGGAGG